UGCCCAGCAUGCGGCGGCCCUCUCACCAGCCAGACGCACAGAUCUCCUAUCCAGUCAGCAGAAGGGGAGAACCAGUGCGGCACCUGCGGUGGCGUUUCCCAGUCGUCUGAUGUCUGAACGCAUGGGAAUAAGUGAAGCGUCCUCCAGUAUGUCGUCUUGGCUCUAUGGCAGCAGUAGAGUAGUAUCAUCAGUUAUAGAACCUGUAGUAGUGUUGCAUCUUAGUAGUAUCAUUGGUACUUGAUCGGUGGAAUCGCCAGAAGGGCGGACGUGGUGGUUGUUCUAGCAGUAGCAGUAGUAGUACCCGUAUGAUGAUACCUGCAGUAUGUUCUUCGUUCGUGUGCCUCCUCGGUCGCGUGUUUCUGCUGGGCGUCCACCGUGUCUUGAUCGAUCACUUGCCUGGGUGAAGUGACUCGAACAAGAGGGCCAAUGUGGUGGCCGGGGAGAACACUGCCUUUUCUUUUUUUUUUGUUACUCUUGUCUAUACAGUUGAACUAUCUGAUGAAUGGUGAUGGAAUCUCAAAUGUUUUGGUA